rnacentral:rRNA from 1 species
UACGUAGGGGGCGAGCGUUGUCCGGAUUCAUUGGGCGUAAAGAGCUCGUAGGCGGUUUGUCGCGUCGAAUGUGAAAUCCCGGGGCUCAACUCCGGGCCUGCAUUCGAUACGGGCAGACUAGAGUUCGGUAGGGGAGUCUGGAAUUCCUGGUGUAGCGGUGAAAUGCGCAGAUAUCAGGAGGAACACCGGUGGCGAAGGCGGGACUCUGGGCCGAUACUGACGCUGAGGUGCGAAAGCGUGGGGAGCAAACAGG